UGUAGCUGCUGCCAAAGCUUUAGGCUCACCCCAGAGCAUGGUCUGGAGCUGGGCGCAGGACCUUUCUCAGAGUGGUAGAUCACAUGCCGGAAACAAGCCAAGAGAGACCUGGCUUCCAGAUCCUAUGGAGUCCUCAACUUCUAAAUGCUGCUUCUUGGAAUUAAUCUCUGCUCUUGGAGGACUCAAGCCUGAGGAAUUGGAACACUUCCACAACCCAUUCUUGUGUGUGCUCUUUGGUACUGAAUGACUAUUUGACUAAGUGAUUCCUGAGGCUGGAAAGACCCUUCCGUAAAAACCAACCUUGUCCAUCCACCCUCAGCCAGGUUAUUGUCAUGCUUAUCUAAUGGCUCUGUGAUCCACAUUCAUCUUCCUUGGAGCCAAUCUGGCUUUUUCAUUUCCUGCCCACCCGGUACUCUGCUCCUACUCUCAUCCUCAAGGCUGAGAGGAAAUCUUUCUAAUGAUUCCUUCAGUUUGUUAGCCCCUGUCUUUCCACUGGACCUUCCCAGGACAA